rnacentral:lncRNA from 1 species
UCUACCAGUUGCCACUUCUGGUCCAUUUGCAUAUAACACUGGAGAAGUGUUCCUUUAUCUUUGUGAAGCCCUUAACAUUCAAGGAGCCACUACUGCUUCUAUGCUGCUGAAAAAUACAAGACACUGCCUCUACCUCUGCAUCUGUCCUUUGCUUUUUGCUUGGAAACUAUCACAUCAAAUCACACUGAGAUCAGUUCCUACUGAGCUCUCACUGGCAAACUAUCAGUAGAAGAAGCCUGGUCAGAAAUCUGAUGUAUGUCUCACUGGACUACAAUCAAGGUGGCUACAGAGCUGCGUUUCUCUCUGGAGCCUCUAGGAGAAAAUCAGUUUCCUUAUCUUUUUCAGCCUCUAGAGGCCACCUGCAUUCCUGGACUUGUGGCCUCUUCCUCCAUCUUAAAGCCAGCAAGAGAGCAUCAUUCUGGGCCAGCUUCUCUCCUCACCGCUUUCACUGACCGCAGUCAAUAAAGGCUCUUUGAUUUUA